CGGGGUGUAGCUCAGUUUGGCCAGAGCACUCGCUUUGGGAGCGAGGGGUCGCAGGUUCGAAUCCUGUCACCCCGACCA
rnacentral:tRNA from 1 species